rnacentral:rRNA from 1 species
GAUGAACGCUAGCGGAAGGCAUAAUACAUGCAAGUCGAACGGAUGUAGCAAUACAUUAGUGGCGCACGGGUGCGUAACGCGUAUGCAACCUACCUUCAUCAGGGGGAUAACUACUCGAAAGGGUGGCUAACACCGCAUAAUACUACUGAAUGGCAUCAUUUGGUAUUUAAAUCUGAGGAGGAUGAAGAAGGGCAUGCGUCUGAUUAGCUAGUUGGUGUGGUAACGGCGCACCAAGGCGACGAUCAGUAGGGGAACUGAGAGGUUGGUCCCCCAAACUGGCACUGAGAUACGGGCCAGACUCCUACGGGAGGCAGCAGUAGGGAAUAUUGGUCAAUGGUGGGAACACUGAACCAGCCAUUCCGCGUGCAGGAAGAAGGGUCUCUGACUUGUAAACUGCUUUAGCAAGGGAAGAAAAAGCUCAUGCGUGAGAAAUUGACGGUACCUUGAGAAUAAGCACCGGCUAACUACGUGCCAGCAGCCGCCGUAA